GAUGAACGCUAGCGGCAGGCCUAAUACAUGCAAGUCGGACGGGGUUGAGAAGCUUGCUUCUUAUGAGAGUGGCGCACGGGUGCGUAACACGUAUGUAACCUACCUUAAUCAGGGGGAUAGCCUCUCGAAAGAGAGAUAAACACCGCAUAAAAUCAAUUUAUGGCAUCAUAGAAUGCUCAAAUAUUUAUAGGAUUAAGAUGGGCAUGCGGAACAUUAGCUAGUUGGUAAGGUAACGGCUUACCAAGGCUACGAUGUUUAGGGGAUCUGAGAGGAUGACCCCCCACACUGGUACUGAGACACGGACCAGACUCCUACGGGAGGCAGCAGUAAGGAAUAUAGGUCAAUGGGCGCAAGCCUGAACCAGCCAUGCCGCGUGCAGGAAGACGGCCCUACGGGUUGUAAACUGCUUUUGUACCGGAAUAAACCUUUGUAUGUAUACGAAGCUGAAUGUACGGUAAGAAUAAGGAUCGGCUAACUCCGUGCCAGCCGCCGCGGUAA
rnacentral:rRNA from 1 species